rnacentral:rRNA from 1 species
AUUACCGAGUUUACAACUCCCAAACCCCUGUGAACAUACCAUUUGUUGCCUCGGCGGUGCCUGCUUCGGCAGCCCGCCAGAGGACCCAAACCCUUGAUUUUAUACAGUAUCUUCUGAGUAAAUGAUUAAAUAAAUCAAAACUUUCAACAACGGAUCUCUUGGUUCUGGCAUCGAUGAAGAACGCAGCGAAAUGCGAUAAGUAAUGUGAAUUGCAGAAUUCAGUGAAUCAUCGAAUCUUUGAACGCACAUUGCGCCCGCCAGUAUUCUGGCGGGCAUGCCUGUUCGAGCGUCAUUUCAACCCUCAAGCCCCCGGGCUUGGUGUUGGAGAUCGGCGUGCCCCCCCGGGGCGCGCCGGCUCCCAAAUAUAGUGGCGGUCUCGCUGUAGCUUCCUCUGCGUAGUAGCACACCUCGCACUGGAAAACAGCGUGGCCACGCCGUUAAACCCCCCACUUCUGAAAGGUUGACCUCGGAUCAGGUAGGAAUACCCGCUGAACUUAAGCAUAUCAAUAAGCGGAGGAAAAGAAACCAACAGGGAUUGCCCUAGUAACGGCGAGUGAAGCGGCAACAGCUCAAAUUUGAAAUCUGGCCCUCGGGUCCGAAUUGUAAUUUGUAGAGGAUGCUUUUGGUGAGGUACCUUCCGAGUUCCCUGGAACGGGACGCCAUAGAGGGUGAGAGCCCCGUCUGGUUGGAUACCGAUCCUCUGUAAAGCUCCUUCGACGAGUCGAGUAGUUUGGGAAUGCUGCUCUAAAUGGGAGGUAUAUGUCUUCUAAAGCUAAAUAUUGGCCAGAGACCGAUAGCGCACAAGUAGAGUGAUCGAAAGAUGAAAAGCACUUUGAAAAGAGAGUUAAAAAGUACGUGAAAUUGUUGAAA